GUUGGAGACAAACAGCAUUGCCGCAAAGAUGAACAACUUUGGCUUCAUGUGCGCAGUGUUCGUUUGGCAUGACAUCUUGUUCGAAGUGAACAUCACCAGUAAGAGUUUGCAGGCGGUGAGUUUUAACAUUUCACUAGCAGUGGCUCAACUGAACUCAACCAGGGUAUUCCUCCAAGACUACCGCUCCGAUGCAGCUUUCGCUGGCGCUUUAGCAAGCGCAAAAUAGUUGGAAGAGGAGAUGGGUAUUGAGCCCUGUUUCCCAGUGCAGCCCACGGUCCGUCCCAGGAAGAAGAGAAGUCUGUUUGGCUACGAGGAAGAGGAUGAGCCUGUGACUGACCCUCAGCAGAAAUUCAAAGUACAUUCCUUUAAUCAGAUUAUUGAUUCUGCUAUCCAGUCCGUCAACGAGCGCUUUACGCAGCUCGAAGAGCAUAGCAGUAUUUUCAGCAUCCUGUACAACAUCCCCACCAUCAAGGACAUGGACACUGCAGCACUUACCAGGGACUCCGCAACACCGGAGAGGGCCCUUACGUACGGGGAUUCCAGGAACAUCGACUCAAAAGUGUAAUCAGUGUAAUGAGCUCAAAGUAUUGAGCAGGAGACUGGACAGUGAGGCAAAACCACUCGACGCACUGGAGUGCAUAUCCAGACACCAAAUGGCCUCCUUGUAUCCUAAUGCCUUUUUUGCCCUGAGAGUUAUUCUCACACUCCCGGUGACAGUGGCAAGUGGAGAGCGCACAUUCUCCAAGCUCAAACUCAUGAAAAACUACCUGCGCUUUACUAUGAGUCAAGAGAGACUCAAUGGACUCGCCACCAUAUCAAUUGAGCACGAGUUGUCUUACAAAAUCAACCUCCAACAAGCAGUGCAUGCUUUUGCUGCCAGGAAGGCCAGGCGAGUCAACUUGUCUUUGAAUAAAAGAUUAUUUGAUUUCAGGACCAUGGACAGAUACCGAGAGAAAACAUCGCUGACUGCAGAGGAAAGAGGCCACUCUAGGCGGAGACUAAAUAAAUAAAUGCUGAAACUGA